UACGGAGGGGGCAAGCGUUGUUCGGAAUUACUGGGCGUAAAGUGUGCGCAGGCGGCGUCGCAAGUCGAGUGUGAAAGCCCCGAGCUUAACUUGGGAAUUGCGCUCGAAACUACGAUGCUGGAGUGUGGCAGAGGAAGGUGGAAUUCCACGUGUAGCGGUGAAAUGCGUAGAGAUGUGGAGGAACACCGAUGGCGAAGGCAGCCUUCUGGGCCAACACUGACGCUCAUGCACGAAAGCGUGGGGAGCAAACAGG
rnacentral:rRNA from 1 species